AGUUUAAAAAAGGUGUUGACAAAGU
rnacentral:rRNA from 1 species